GCACAAGCGGUGGAGCAUGUGGUUUAAUUCGACGCAACGCGCAGAACCUUACCUGGUCUUGACAUCCUCGGAACCUCUCAGAGAUGAGGGGGUGCCCGCAAGGGAACCGAGAGACAGGUGCUGCAUGGCUGUCGCCAGCUCGUGUCGUGAGAUGUUGGGUUAAGUCCCGCAACGAGCGCAACCCUCGCCUUUAGUUGCCGCGCAAGCGGAUCUCUAGAGGGACUGCCGGUGUUAAACCGGAGGAAGGUGGGGAUGACGUCAAGUCCCCAUGGCCUUUAUGACCGGGGCUACACACGUGCUACAAUGGCCGGUACAACGCGUCGCCAACUCGCGAGAGGGAGCUAAUCGCAUAAAACCGGUCUCAGUUCAGAUUGGAGUCUGCAACUCGACUCCAUGAAGGCGGAAUCGCUAGUAAUCGCGGAUCAGCACGUCGCGGUGAAUACGUUCCCGGGC
rnacentral:rRNA from 1 species